AGAUGGCGACCGGCGCACGGGUGAGUAACACGUAUCCAACCUGCCGAUAACUCGGGGAUAGCCUUUCGAAAGAAGGAUUAAUACCCGAUGGCAUAAUAGAACCGCAUGGUUUGAUUAUUAAAGAAUUUCGGUUAUCGAUGGGGAUGCGUUCCAUUAGGCAGUUGGUGGGGUAACGGCCCACCAAACCUUCGAUGGAUAGGGGUUCUGAGAGGAAGGUCCCCCACAUUGGAACUGAGACACGGUCCAA
rnacentral:rRNA from 1 species